AAUAUCUCAUUGGUUGUUCAUGGAACUAUAGCUGAAAAUAUGGAUUUCCUAAAGGAGGAUUCAAAUCCAUACGCUGUUCCCAUGGCUAUGGGAUUCUACAAGCAACCACAAAGUCCUUUGGGCAUCACAACUAGUACAAUCAUAAAGAGGAUUGUUGCUAACCACGAAGCAUAUCAGAAAAGAAAUGAGAAGAAAGAAGAU